rnacentral:rRNA from 1 species
GCGAGUCUGAAUAGGGCGCAUAAGUAACAGGUCGUAGACCCGAAACCAGGUGAUCUACCCAUGUCCAGGAUGAAGGUAAGGUAAUACUUACUGGAGGUCCGAACCCACGCACGUUGAAAAGUGCGGGGAUGAGGUGUGGGUAGCGGAGAAAUUCCAAUCGAACUUGGAGAUAGCUGGUUCUCUCCGAAAUAGCUUUAGGGCUAGCCUCGAGGUAAAGAGUCAUGGAGGUAGAGCACUGUUUGGACUAGGGGCCCUUCUCGGGUUACCGAAUUCAGAUAAACUCCGAAUGCCAUGUACUUAUACUCGGGAGUCAGACUGCGAGUGAUAAGAUCCGUAGUCGAAAGGGAAACAGCCCAGACCACCAGUUAAGGUCCCCAAAUAUAUGUUAAGUGGAAAAGGAUGUGGGGUUGCUUAGACAACCAGGAUGUUGGCUUAGAAGCAGCCACCAUUGAAAGAGUGCGUAAUAGCUCACUGGUCGAGUGACCCCGCGCCGAAAAUGUACCGGGGCUAAACAUAUUACCGAAACUGUGGAUGAACCUCUUUAGAGGUUCGUGGUAGGAGAGCGUUCUAAGGGCGGUGAAGUCAGACCGGAAGGACUGGUGGAGCGCUUAGAAGUGAGAAUGCCGGUAUGAGUAGCGAAAGAAGGGUGAGAAUCCCUUCCACCGAAUAUCUAAGGUUUCCUGAGGAAGGCUCGUCCGCUCAGGGUUAGUCGGGACCUAAGCCGAGGCCGAUAGGCGUAGGCGAUGGACAACAGGUAGAGAUUCCUGUACCAGUGCUAAUUGUUUAACCGAUGGGGUGACACAGAAGGAUAGGGAAUCGCACGAAUGGAAAUGUGCGUCCAAGCAGUGAGUGUGAGAAGUAGGCAAAUCCGCUUCUCGCGAAGCAUGAGCUGUGAUGGGGAAGGAAAUUAAGUACGGAAGUUCCUGAUUUCACGCUGUCAAGAAAAGCCUCUAGGAAGAGUAGUACUGCCCGUACCGCAAACCGACACAGGUAGAUGAGGAGAGAAUCCUAAGGUGAGCGAGAGAACUCUCGUUAAGGAACUCGGCAAAAUGACCCCGUAACUUCGGGAGAAGGGGUGCUCUAUUAGGGUGCAAGCCCGAGAGAGCCGCAGUGAAUAGGCCCAGGCGACUGUUUAGCAAAAACACAGGUCUCUGCAAAACCGUAAGGUGACGUAUAGGGGCUGACGCCUGCCCGGUGCUGGAAGGUUAAGAGGAGUGCUUAGCUUCGGCGAAGGUACGAAUUGAAGCCCCAGUAAACGGCGGCCGUAACUAUAACGGUCCUAAGGUAGCGAAAUUCCUUGUCGGGUAAGUUCCGACCCGCACGAAAGGCGCAACGAUCUGGGCACUGUCUCAACGAGAGACUCGGUGAAAUUAUAGUACCUGUGAAGAUGCAGGUUACCCGCGACAGGACGGAAAGACCCCGUGGAGCUUUACUGCAACCUGAUAUGGAAUGUUUGUACCGCU